rnacentral:rRNA from 1 species
ACGCCAGACUCCUACGGGAGGCAGCAGUGGGGGAUAUUGCACAAUGGGGGGAGCCCUGAUGCAGCGACGCCGCGUGGGUGAAGGAGUGCUUCGGCAUGUAAAGCCCUAUCGGCAGGGAAGAAGCAAGACGGUACCUGACUAAGAAGCCCCGGCUAACUACGUGCCAGCAGCCGCGGGAAUACGUAGGGGGCGAGCGUUAUCCGGAUUCACUGGGUGUAAAGGGAGCGUAGACGGCCAUGCAAGCCAGGGGUGAAAGCCCGGGGCCCAACCCCGGGACUGCCCUUGGAACUGCAUGGCUGGAGUGCGGGAGGGGCAGGCGGAAUUCCUGGUGUAGCGGUGAAAUGCGUAGAUAUCAGGAGGAACACCGGCGGCGAAGGCGGCCUGCUGGACCGCGACUGACGUUGAGGCCCGAAAGCGUGGGGAGCAAACAGGAUUAGAUACCCCAGUA